GCCAGUGUGGUGUAGAGGUUUUGAGUGUUAGACUACAACUCUGGAGAUCAAGGUUCGAUUCCCCGCUCAGCCG